GACAGUGGGGACACGCCAAAGUGCCCUCGAGACGGUUGUGCGCGACCAUCAUAUGAUGCCGUAGACGUACUUCGGAUGUAAAAGUCUCGUCGCAGUCAGAGCAUUUCAUUGGAUCCUUUUCCAUAUGAGUGUUUUUGAUGUGGACCGGACUCGUCGCGAGUAACACCUGCAAGAAAAAUGAUUAUCUACGAACGUUUAUAUUAUUAAUUUUAUAUAAUAAAUAUUAUAUAUUAUUAACUGUAUACAUACAUACAUACAUACAUACAUACAUACAUACAUACAUA